rnacentral:rRNA from 1 species
UACAGAGGUCUCAAGCGUUGUUCGGAUUCAUUGGGCGUAAAGGGUGCGUAGGUGGCGGGGUAAGUCAGGUGUGAAAUUUCGGAGCUUAACUCCGAAACUGCAUUUGAUACUGCCUUGCUUGAGGACUGGAGAGGAGACUGGAAUUCACGGUGUAGCAGUGAAAUGCGUAGAGAUCGUGAGGAAGACCAGUGGCGGAAGGCG